AACGCAACUGGCGCCGGUUUACCGGCAUGCCUGUUUCAGUGUGCUAGGAGAGUAAACUAUCAUUAUAAAAUAUAAUGCGAUUGAGGUACAUUUAUGUUCUUCUUUCGUUAAAUAUGAAGGUGUGAAAGAUGAGUACUCUCUCACACUGGCAAACGAAGUAGUCAUGCUUGUUCGCGAUCUCGUUUAACUAGUGCUAAAUGAGAUGACUUAGAUAUAAAUCACAUCUAAGCAAGUGAAUAUCUCCAAAAUUGGCAUCUGAAAUCAGACAAGGAGACCCGCUGAA
rnacentral:misc_RNA from 1 species